AUGCAUCGAGCUACCAUGCAGUCGAGGGGUAAGAUUAGCUUGCUAAUCUUGAGACCGGCGCACGGGUGCGUAACGCGUAUGCAACCUACCUUUUACAAAGGGAUAGCCCGGAGAAAUUCGGAUUAAUACCUUAUAGUAUUGUUGAUAAUCAUUUAUUAACAAUUAAAGUUUCGGCGGUAAAAGAUGGGCAUGCGUCCUAUUAACUAGAUGGAGUGGUAACGGCACCCCAUGGCAACGAUAGGUAGGGGUCCUGAGAGGGAGAUCCCCCACACUGGUACUGAGACACGGACCACACUCCUACGGGAGGCAGCAGUGAGGAAUAUUGGACAAUGGACGCAAGUCUGAUCCAGCCAUGCCGCGUGCAGGAAGACGGCCCUAUGGGUUGUAAACUGCUUUUAUACAAGAAGAAUAAGACUUACGUGUAAGUUGAUGACGGUAUUGUAUGAAUAAGCACCGGCUAACUCCGUGCCAGCAGCCGCGGUAAUACGGAGGGUGCAAGCGUUAUCCGGAAUCAUUGGGUUUAAAGGGUCCGUAGGCGGGCUAAUAAGUCAGGGGUGAAAGUUUGCAGCUCAACUGUAAAAUUGCCUUUGAUACUGUUAGUCUUGAAUUAGUAGGAAGUGGUUAGAAUAAGUAGUGUAGCGGUGAAAUGCAUAGAUAUUACUUAGAAUACCGAUUGCGAAGGCAGAUCACUACUACUAUAUUGACGCUGAUGGACGAAAGCGUGGGGAGCGAACAGGAUUAGUACUU
rnacentral:rRNA from 1 species